rnacentral:rRNA from 19 species
CGAGGGCACGUCUGCCUGGGCGUCA